CCUUUUAAGAUGGUUUUUAACAACGAACCGUCUUAGAAAAGUAUCAUUGUAAGACAGUUUUUACCAAAGAACCGUCUUAGAAUGAUAUCUUUUUUUCUAAGACGGUUACUUAAAAACUAUCGUAAAAAGUAAAGACUUUUUAUAAUGUUAUCUACGACGAAGGUUAAUAAUCGUCGUCAAAGGUCUCUUUUAACCGACAUAAAAAGCGCUUUGUGUAACAGUGCAUAUCCAUAAUUUAUACCCGUUUAUAAAUUUGGAACCCACUUUUUUCCUACGGUUUUUAAGUGGAAAAUCCAAAGUUCAUAUUUGGAUCCGAAUUUGUUCAAACAUCUUCUUCACUCUCUCGAUCACUCUAAUCCAUCAAGGCAUCAACCCAUCGUUCUUCACUCUGUCAAUCCCUCUCAAUCAAUUGCUGAAAGAUGUCUUCCAACUUUUUAGUCUCAAACACCGAGGUUACUACUUCACCAGCUGUCACUGGCUCAAUAAUUGCGAGACCCCCUCGCCAUAAUGGAAGAAGAAAUAGAUCAGAAGCUUGGAAUCAUUUCAAUCAAUUAGAGCCAACGUCAGAUAAGAGGGCUCAAUGCAAGUAUUGUGAUAUCGUGAUUAAUUAUGAGAAUGGAACAAGUUCAAUGCUUGAUCAUGUCUCUAGAUGUUUGAAUAACCCUAAUAAAUAAACAACCAAGAGGCAAAAAGAAAACUUCAUCCUCGACUAAUGAUGGGAUUAUUAACUUUCCUUCAUAUGACAAGUUUAACCAAGAUUUGUGUGAAAUGGAAAUGGUAAAGUUGUUUAUUGAAGUUGAACUUCCUUUUCGAUUGGUAGAGCAUCCAGCUUUUAGGAGGUAUUCGUAUACUUUACAGCCAAAAUUUAAUAUAUGGCCACGUUAUACCCUAUCUCGUAAAAUUGUAAUAUUGUGGAAUACAAUGAACAAAAAGUUGAAGUAUUUUCUUUUGCAACAUUGUCGAAGAGUUUGUCUCACUACUAAUGCAUGGACAUCACCUCAAAAUGUAAGCUACAUGUGUUUGACAACUCACUUCAUAGAUAACAAUUGGAAGUUGCAUAAAAAGAUUUUGGGUUUUCGCCAGGUAAGAAGCCAUACAGGAGAAGCCAUGCAAAAUUUGUUAAGUCAUGCUUGAAUGAAUGGGGGUUGAAUCAUGUUCUGAGCUUGAUAGUUGAUAAUGCGUCAUCAAAUGACAUAGGAAUUCAACUCUUGAAGAAAAGGCUAUUGCUUUGGAAUAACUUAGUUUAGAAAGGAUAUCAUAUUCAUAUGUGUUGUUGUGCGUGUAUCUUGAACUUGAUUGUGAAUAGUGGAAUAAACGAGAUUGACAACUUUGUUUUAAGAAUUCGUGCUGCAAUGAAAUAUAUAAGAUCAUCUCCAUCAAGACUAAUAAGCUUGAUAGAAUGUGCUGAACGAAAAAACAUUGACUAUAAGGGUCACAUUUGCUUGGAUGUUGAAACAAGGUGGAAUUCCACCUAUUUGGUGUUAGAUGCUACUUUGAAGCAUAGGAAGGCAUUUUCGGAGUUUGAGUUUCAUGAUAGAAAAUAUGCUAACGAGUUAGGAAAAGGGAUAGGUCUGCCUUCCUAUGAAGAUUAGGAAUAUGUUGAGGCUAUUCUACCCUUGAGCAUUUUCUAUAAAGUCACUUUGCGCAUCUCAGGUACCUCUUAUGUUACUAUUAACAUAUACAUGUUAGAGGUGGUGGGUUUUUAGCAUGGGAUUAACAAUUUUCUUAACUACAACAUUUACACAUAAGAUGGCUAAAAAUAUGAAAGAAAAAUAUCAGAAAUAUUGUGGUGAUCCUAACAAGUUGAACAUAUUGUUGCUAAUUGUUGUUGUGUUAGCUCCGAGGUCUAAAGUAAAAUAUAUUAAUUGGGCAAUUGAUCAACUUUUUGAUGUGGACAAGGCACAUGGGUCUAAGUCAAGGCUAAAGUCUUCUUUGAAAUCAUUGUUAAAUGAGAAUAAUGGUCAUAAAGAGGGGACUCAAGAUGACACACAACAAGCACAUAUAAAUGUACCUAGUUACAAGAAAGAUCCAUAUAGUUGGAAUCUAUUUUUGCAAACAUCAGGACUAACCUCAUCAAACAAAUCCGAGCUUCAAAAGAAUUAAGAUGAAGAGAUUGAUACAAGUGAAAAUUUGAAUAUUCUUGAUUGGUGGAAAGUUAAUUCAUGUUGAUUUCCAAUCCUUUCAAACAUAGCACGAGAGCUAUUCGCUAUGCCUGUUUCUACAGUAGCAUCCGAGUCUGCAUUUAGCACAGGUGGAAGGAUGCAUGAUCCGUUUCGUAGUUCUCUAUCACAUGAAAAGGUGGAGACCUUUAUCUGUACACAAGAUUAGCUCAAAGAUACACCUUAAGCACCAUUGUUAGACUUCGAUUUGAAAGAGCUUCAAAGUUUUGACAAAGAGUUGGUUUCUCAACAAGAUGUUGUUGGUUCAACUACUAUUUAUCUUGAAGAUUAGUGUUUAAGAUUAGUACUAAUUCCUACACUCCACAACUGGCAAGGUAGUGUUGAGGUUGGUGAAAGGCAAACAUUCUAUUGUUGGUUGCGUAGGAUACAUCUGAGUGAAGUUGAUGAGCCAUUUGAUGGAUGGAUGGAUGGACUCUUAGAUUUUGAUGUUGCUUUUAAAAUUUUAGAAAUAUAGUUUCAGUAUUUUUUACAGAAUGAUACUCUGAACAAUGGAGAUUAGAUGGAUGAAUUUUUUCAAAUCACAUUUGGUUUGAUUUUCUACCUUAAGGAUAUGUAGGUGCUAUUGUGCAUCAACCUUCAUCCUUCA